rnacentral:rRNA from 1 species
AGCAGCCGCGGUAAUUCCAGCUCCAAUAGCGUAUAUUAAAGUUGCUGCAGUUAAAAAGCUCGUAGUUGAAUUUCGGGACCAAUAUGUCGGUCGUGCCUCGGUACGUACUGGCAUCGUUGGUUUCUCCCUUCUGACGAACCAUGAUGUCAUUUAUUUGGUGUCAUGGGGAAUCAGGACUGUUACUUUGAAAAAAUUAGAGUGUUUAAAGCAGGCUCACGCUUGAAUACAUUAGCAUGGAAUAAUGAAAUAGGACGUUUGAUUCUAUUUUGUUGGUUUCUAGGAUCGACGUAAUGAUUAAUAGGGAUAGUUGGGGGCAUUAGUAUUCAAUUGUCAGAGGUGAAAUUCUUGGAUUUAUUGAAGACUAACUACUGCGAAAGCAUUUGCCAAGGAUGUUUUCAUUAAUCAAGAACGAAAGUUAGGGGAUCGAAGACGAUCAGAUACCGUCGUAGUCUUAACCAUAAACUAUGCCGACUAGGGAUCGGAUGAUGUUAAUUUUUUAAUGACUCA